rnacentral:rRNA from 1 species
ACUCUUCAACCCACCAGUUUCUUGUAGACUGAAUGGUGUUUGGAUUUUGAAUGCUGCUGGUCCCUCGGGACGAAGCUCGUUCGUAAUAUAUUAGCAUCUCUAAUUCGAAAUCGGAUUGACUCAGUGUAAUAGACUAUUCGCUGAGGACACUUCGGGUGGCCGAAAUAGAACCAGUGGAAGCUUCUAACUCCUAUAGUCAACUUUAGAU